CCCGCCCCGCCCGCAGGCGUCACGUAGCCGCUUUCCCAGGGGCGAAGGUGGGGGCAGGCUCGGCCGCCUGGCCCUGCGCCCGGACUACCCCGCCCGGUGGCGAGACCUCCACCUAUCCUGCCGAGGCUAGGAGACGACGUAACGGAACAGUUGGAACAGGACCGCUUGCUGGCCUCACUCGUGGCCCUGCAACAUGUACAAAAGGAAAUAACCAGGGCCUUCGCUCAUCCUCCUGUUCUUCUCCACCCCUUUCAACCAGGAGACUUGGUCUGGGUCAAGGGGCACGAGCCUAAAACCCUGGAGCCGCGCCGGAAAGGACCGCACGCACACCGUGAUCCUGACCACGUCCACGGCCGUGAAGGUGGAUGGUGUCCAAACCUAGAUUCAUCACUCUCAGGUUAAGAAAAACUGUGUGAAGGCGGGAACACCCCAGACUGAUAGGGAAGCAGAGAACGAACAGCAAUGGAAGGUCCCGAGGCACCCAGAGGAUCCUUUGAAGCUAAGACUGAUGCAGGCAUAAUAAUAAUAAUGAUUGUCUGGGUUUGUAUAAUGGUAAGCGGGGGGGUUGUAUGGAAUUACCUCCCCUGUCUUUUUGGCCAUGCCAAUGGGAACUCAGGGACACUGUCACGGGGAAGGUGAUAGCAUCUAAUACCUCUUCCACUGUGCCUUGUUUUUUGUUUGAUUUAUGCGACUUGGUGGGGGACUCAUGGGGGACUUUAGUUACUAAUUAUAAACAGCCAACGGGCUUCGCUGCUCCGGUCCCCGAAAACCCCUGUAUGGUUACCUAUGGAUGUGGACACAGGGAUCAAGAACAAAAAUUGGCCGACAUACCGGGGUUAUACAGUUGCCCUGCAAAUGGAAAGGUCGGAUGUGAAGGAAAAGGCCAGCGAUAAUUGGCAUCAGAGUUUAUUUUAUUUUCUUGGUCCCUCUGGCUCACGUCACUGCUCACCCCUAUAGCUGGGCCACUGCUAUUGUUACUUCUCGGGUUAACUGUCGGCCCGCACAUUAUCAAUUGGUUAGUAUGUCAAGAGGCGAGUUGGUGAAAUAAAAAUUAUGAUGAUGAGGUCCAACUACGUCCCCUUAGUUCCUAGUGAGGAAUCAAGGGAUUGAUUCACUGACAAGAAAAGGGGGAAAUGUAAGGGUUGAAUUGUAGCUAACGUGUAGCUUAAAAGAUAACAGCUUUGUUCUGACACUUAGCAAGAUAACAGCCUUGCUUUACCCUUGUAAAUUACGCUCUGUACUGUAAAUCAGGCUUCACCAAUGAAGGAAACAAAAGCUCAAAGAAAAGAGCAUCAGAGUCAGGGUCAAGGAGAUCCACUGGUUGCAACUUAGGGGCAGAAAGUCUAAAAGAAUCCCCUCAUCCGGCAACUGUUUCUAACUCAUCUGGGAACUCUUUCUCCGUUCUGUUCCCAGGUGAUGAUAAAACGAUGUGAUCGGCCUUAAAAACCCUGGACCCCGGCUGUUCGAGGCCGCACUCUGAUCAAGAGUGGUGGUCCCAAUCGGUCUGCCUUGCCUCUCAUUGCAGUACACUUUGUUGUGACUGUCA